rnacentral:rRNA from 1 species
GGUCGCAAGAUUAAAACUCAGAGGAAUUGACGGGGACCCGCACAAGCGGUGGAUGAUGUGGAUUAAUUCGAUGCAACGCGAAAAACCUUACCUACCCUUGACAUGUCACUAACGAAGUAGAGAUACAUUAGGUGCUCGUAAGAGAAAGUGAACACAGGUGCUGCAUGGCUGUCGUCAGCUCGUGUCGUGAGAUGUUGGGUUAAGUCCCGCAACGAGCGCAACCCUUGUCUUUAGUUGCUACGCAAGAGCACUCUAAAGAGACUGCCGGUGACAAACCGGAGGAAGGUGGGGAUGACGUCAAGUCCUCAUGGCCCUUAUGGGUAGGGCUUCACACGUCAUACAAUGGUGCAUACAGAGGGUUGCCAACCCGCGAGGGGGAGCUAAUCUCAGAAAAUGCAUCGUAGUCCGGAUCGUAGUCUGCAACUCGACUACGUGAAGCUGGAAUCGCUAGUAAUCGCGGAUCAGAAUGUCGCGGUGAAUACGUUCCCGGGUCUUGUACACACCGCCCGUCAUACCAUGGGAGUGGUUUUGCCAGAAGCCGUUAGCCUAACCGCAAGGAGGGCGACUGCCAC